rnacentral:rRNA from 1 species
GACAGAGGUGCCAAGCGUUAGGCGGAAUCACUGGGCUUAAAGCGUGUGUAGGUGGACUGGUAAGUACCUUGUGAAAUCCCACGGCUCAACCGUGGAACUGCUUGGUAUACUGCUGGUCUUGAGCAACUUAGGGGCGAGCGGAACAAAUGGUGGAGCGGUGAAAUGCGUAGAUAUCAUUUGGAACGCCAAUGGUGAAAACAGCUCGCUGGGAGUUUGCUGACACUGAGACACGAAAGCCAGGGGAGCAAACGGG